AUCUGUGAAUCAUCCCCCAAGCUCCAACAUAUUUUCUAAAAACACUCCAAGAAGAUCUGUAGAGACUUUAAAAAAUUGCCAGUACAUUUCCAGCACUCUAAAGGCAUUCUGAGACAUAAUAUAAAACCAACAAAAGGUAUAAAUUUCCAUGGGAGAGGAUGCUGAGAAGCACUGAUGAAGAUCAAGUGAGAUGAAAUAAAUCUCCUUCAUUUACAGAGCAGAAUCAGAAAUGCUGAGAAAUGCAAAGCAGGUGACGUUCUGCUAUCUGGCUCCCCGCAAGCUACAGUUUUUUGGGCUGAUGAGUGGCUCUAUACUUGUACGUGAGUAGCUCGUGAUAAGAGAACUGAUUCAGAGCCCAAAUGACCUACUAUCAAGCAUCUACAACAUGUAAAAUGGCGACCAAGAUCCACCGAUAUGACGUGCCAAGGGAUACAUGCAAACAUGAGGGGGCAGGGAGGGAGCAAGCCACGUGCUGAAGCUGGAUUACCAAGCUGCCCUGACCAUGACCACUCUUCCUCAUUAUGCCUGCUUCAAACCUAACAGCUGCUGGGUUUCCCUCCACUCACAGAUGGGAGCACAUGACAAGCAACUUCCUCUCAAGCUUCUUCAGUCCCAGUUUUGCCCUCACAGUUUAUCUCUGCCAGAUAGUGCCAGGUUCCUGUUUACCCAGGAAAUACUUGUUGCUGGUUGGCUCCACAAUAGAGAUUUUUCAAUUCUGUCUUGCAUGUGUUGCUUUAAUGCAUAUGACAGUUAUUUCUUUGCUUUAACAUCAUGAUCUGGAAACUGCUCACUUUGGAUGUUUACAGCUGUUGUUUGGUUUAGCAGCAGUGCUUCUUUCAAGCCUUUCUACAGUCCAGAAUUCCUCCCUGAAUUUAUUGUGGGGAAAUACUGCCUUAAAGAAAAUAAGGGUUCUUAAAGAUGAGUUAGUGAAAGGAGUUAUACAACAUUGUGUUGGCACUAGUCUGGGUCACAGACUCUGUGACCCAGAAGAUAGCUUGCAGUCCUGUGUUACUGCUGCAUAUGAUACAAUAACUUAUUUUCAGCACAACACCACUAAGUAUAACAAGUUCUCUUCUGUCAUGAAAGUCCCCUGAACAGUGACAGGGAGCAGAUCUCUCUUUGACUAUUUCUAUCCUGUAUUUAGACUCACAUGCAACACCAGCUCAGGAUCACUGUCCUAUUUUGACCUCUUCUCCAAGGACAGGUAUAGAAAAUGAUCCCUGUACUGAACUAUCAGGAGAAUAGGAAAUGUCAGCAGGUGCUAACUGCCAAUUUACAUCUCCUGGUUUUCCUUCCAGCAAAAAAUUGAGGGAAGCUUUAUCAUGUAGUUGCCUUGCUGCUCCACUAUAACUGACAGGUUAGUUUUUAAAUGUGAUUUAUAAUGUGGAUCUUAUUUCUGUGUUGGAGUGCUUUUGGAUUACAGCAUGAAAUUUGAAUGUGUCUAAAUAAAGGGAAUGCAGUAGCGGCAGUGGCUGGGAGGCAGGGAUUAUAUGAAAGCUUUCAGGACUCUCCGAGCAGUGUGCUGCAGUAGCCAAGGGAUUUUUAUGGGCACAGAGGCACAAAGUAACCCCUCUAAUCCCUUUCUCACUGGCUUACAGACUCUGAAGAAGCUUAAUAAUUACAGGGGAAUGCAGUCAAAGUGUUUUUAAGGACAUAUGUGCAGAGGUUUAUUUUAGUCAUUUCCUAACAGCAAAUGCACUGGCAGAUUCUCAAGAAGGAAUCUGAAUGCAAGUUCUCCCUUUCCUCCCCCUCAACAAAAAGAUGAUGAUUUACAUUUAUAUCAAAAAGUAACUUAACCAGUGAUGAGCUGGGGGAAUAUUUCUCAGCCUGUAGGAUUAUGAUUUUUCCAUGGCCACACCACUCACCCCUCUCUUUCUGAUGAAAUGCAAAACAUAUCUCUGUUCUGUUGAGCCCCUUCUUUCAGUGAAGAAGCCGACAGAAAAUCUGCACAUUUCCUUUAAAAUGCCCCUCUGCAGAAGCAUUUCACCUUCUCUGAAAUUACUGGUUCAGCUGAUGGUGACUCUGCUGCUUAUAUUGCUAUGCUUAAGUAUGUGCCCAACAUGUGCUAUAUAUGUGCAUACGCAGGAGGUGUCCAGGAACCGUUUCCAUGCUGAUCUUUCAGUUUCACAGCUAUGUCACUUUCUGAGGAAUCUGUGCCUCAAAGGGGAAAGAUAUGGUGUUACUCUCUCAUUCUGGAGAAUCUUAGUAAUUUUUUUUCUUUGACAAUCUUGCCCAAUUAAAAAAUUAUGGCAUGGACUUUCCCUCACUCUUCUUCAGAUGUCAUCUCCUAAGAAAGCUGGGCACAAAAAAAUUACAGCAACAUGAUAAGCUUUUGAAUAUUAAUGGUAAAAGAGGAUAGGAAGCAUAUACUUUUUUUAUGGUGCAUGCUAAUGCAACAUUUGGCAUACCCCUUGCAGCAAAGAUGAAAAUUUUGUCCAUAUAAUUGCAAUUUCUGUAAGACACUCU